ACAACGGGUGGAGCUUGCGGUUUAAUUGGAUUCAACGCCGGAAAUCUUACCGGGACCGACAGCAAUAUGAAGGCCAGGCUGAAGACUUUGCCGGAUUAGCUGAGAGGUGGUGCAUGGCCGUCGUCAGUUCGUACUGUGAAGCAUCCUGUUAAGUCAGGCAACGAGCGAGACCCACGCCCACAGUUGCCAGCGUACUCUCCGGAGUGACGGGUACACUGUGGGGACCGCCGGCUGCUAAAGCGGAGGAAGGAAUGGGCAACGGUAGGUCAGUAUGCCCCGAAUAUCCCGGGCUACACGCGAGCUACAAUGGUUGGUACAAUGGGUAUCUACCCCCGAAAGGGGACGGGAAUCUCCUAAAACCAAUCUUAGUUCGGAUUGAGGGCUGCAACUCGCCCUCAUGAAGCUGGAAUCCGUAGUAAUCGCGUUUCAACAGAACGCGGUGAAUACGUCCCUGCUCCUU
rnacentral:rRNA from 1 species